rnacentral:rRNA from 1 species
GACGAACCGUGCGAACGUUGUUCGGAUUCACUGGGCUUAAAGGGCGCGUAGGCGGGUCACCAAGUCUGGGGUGAAAUCUUUCGGCUCAACCGGAAAAUUGCCUUGGAUACUGGUGGUCUGGAGGGAGGUAGGGGCAUGCGGAACUUCCGGUGGAGCGGUGAAAUGCGUAGAUAUCGGAAGGAACGCCGGUGGCGAAAGCGGCGUGCUGGACCUCUUCUGACGCUGAGGCGCGAAAGCCAGGGGAGCAAACGGG